UCCGCCAUUCUGAAUAUAACCGGAAGUAAGGUUUUUAAAGAGAUAUGUCAUAUACAUUGUAUCCAUGAAAAGCACAAAAGAAAGGUUCCUGCCCAAUGUAAUGAUAGUAGCAAUACAUUUAAACACAUUUCAAUUACCCUCCCUAAAAAUAAGCUUGUUCUAGUACUAUAUCAGCCAUGUUGGAUUUUACCGGAAGAAGGGUUUUUGAAG
rnacentral:lncRNA from 1 species